rnacentral:sRNA from 1 species
GCUGGGUGCAGUGGUGCAUGCCUGUAAUCCCAGCGGCUCAGGAGGUUGAAGCAGGAGGAUUGCAAGUUCAAAGCAAGCCUCAGCAACUUAGUGAGGCCCUAAGCAACUUCGCAAGAUCCUGUCUCAA